UCUCCCUCUGCUUGCUUCUUACUGUCUUUGAGGCUCGGGACCAGCACUCCUGUUGUUGGACAGAAAGACAUCAACUUGAGAUAUGACUGCACUAUGCUGUUGCUGGUGACCACAGUUAAUUCUACAAGACAUGCUGUGACAACAGGAGAGAUGAGUCCUCCGUCACAGAUGGUGUGGUCAGUGAAGAUGGUCGCCUGCAGGUUCAAGCUCAUUGCAUCUCCAACCCACAUCCACUGCCACUGUACUUAAGGGAAGUUAAAGACUUUCUUCUGCACCUACAUUUGGAUCACCUCGAUCCAUGAUAGUCAUUCAGGCAGUAAUGCCUGGACUGGAAACAAGCAUCCUUAAAAUAAUACAACAUUCCAGCUCCUGUGUUGGAAUGGAAAACAAAUGUGUUGUUUAAAUUAGAGACUGCACUUGUGACAGAACAACAAAUAUUUUAUUUUGAUUAUAUAAGUAAUGUAAGUACAAAACAAACUUGUGGUAGGCCUAAACUUAUUUUCAGAAUAAUUACAU